rnacentral:rRNA from 1 species
GAUGGACGCUGGCGGCGUGCCUAAUACAUGCAAGUCGAGCGAACAGACGAGGAGCUUGCUCCUCUGACGUUAGCGGCGGACGGGUGAGUAACACGUGGAUAACCUACCUAUAAGACUGGGAUAACUUCGGGAAACCGGAGCUAAUACCGGAUAAUAUAUUGAACCGCAUGGUUCAAUAGUGAAAGACGGUUUUGCUGUCACUUAUAGAUGGAUCCGCGCCGCAUUAGCUAGUUGGUAAGGUAACGGCUUACCAAGGCAACGAUGCGUAGCCGACCUGAGAGGGUGAUCGGCCACACUGGAACUGAGACACGGUCCAGACUCCUACGGGAGGCAGCAGUAGGGAAUCUUCCGCAAUGGGCGAAAGCCUGACGGAGCAACGCCGCGUGAGUGAUGAAGGUCUUCGGAUCGUAAAACUCUGUUAUUAGGGAAGAACAAAUGUGUAAGUAUCUAUGCACGUCUUGACGGUACCUAAUCAGAAAGCCACGGCUAACUACGUG